UACGAAGGGAGCUAGCGCUGUUCGGAAUCACUGGGCGUAAAGCGCACGUAGGCGGAUUUGUCAGUCAGGGGUGAAAUCCCGGGGCUCAACCUCGGAACUGCCUUUGAUACAGCAAGUCUUGAGUUCGAGAGAGGUGGGUGGAAUUCCUAGUGUAGAGGUGAAAUUCGUAGAUAUUAGGAAGAACACCGGUGGCGAAGGCGGCCCACUGGCUCGAUACUGACGCUGAGGUGCGAAAGCGUGGGGAGCAAACAGGG
rnacentral:rRNA from 1 species